GAACGCUCUGCUGGCCACUGGUGGGAGGGGAGGGGGGUCUGGAAGGGAGGGGCAGGGAGAUGGAACCUUUCCCAGACCUGCUGUGCCUCACCUGGGCUGCUCUGGCAUUGCUGUCAUAACAGCACCUACGUCACCUACCUCACAGGGUUUGGUUGCAUGUUGGCUGUUUGUUGGCCGUGGAUCCAUUUGUCUGUCUUGAUGUGAGACCCGAGGAAAGAGCGUUUGCAGCACCAUGUGAUGACUCUGAAGAGUGGAGUCAUGGGCUGUGUACGUGGUUCCUUACCAUGCUCAGCUGGCAGGAGCCUCUCCCUGGGCCACGCCUGGCUCCCGGAGGCCUGGGAAACAGACUCCCCUCCUCCCAGGCACGGCCAAUCACAUGGCAACCUGCUGGCUGGUGUGGCCGAAAUGUCCCCGCCCUGGCCAGGUGGGGCGCAGGAGACAGACUGUGUCAGCGACGGUGAAAAGGAGGCACGGUGUUCUGUGCUCGGCUGACGUGCACGCAGAUGAGUGAAUCGUUCCGUCACUUCACAGUCAUCCACACGUCCCGCUUGAGCCCUGUCAUCAGAAGUCCCUGCGGCUCUGCGGUGGCUCAGGAGCUGCCCCUCCCCGAGGGCAGGCACCAGGAAGCAGCGGCCCCCAUCCGGCUGGGAAACGGCGUGGGGGCAGGAAGCCGGGGUGUGUGUGUGUGUGUGUGUGUGUGUGUGUGUGUUAAUCUCCCCAAAGGAUCACACGGCCAUCGAAUUAAAGGGUGAGCCCACGCAGACAGUUUUGAAAUCCCCAGGUCAGCAGCUUCCCUGGCCGUGCCCUCCGGGUACCCCCCCCCACCCAUCAUCCUGUCCCACAGCUGAACCUGAACGACGCCUGUCCCCGGGCCCAGCACCUUUCAGGGUGAGGGUCACCUUUUUUUUUUUUUUCCUAGUCACUUCUCUCCUGCCUUGGUACACAGGACUAACUCUGAAGUUCUGUGUGUCUAAUACAGAAUAUCAUCCUACAAUAUCGUAAUAAAAAAACUCAGA